GACGGAGGGUGCAAACGUUGUUCGGAAUUACUGGGCGUAAAGCGCGUGUAGGCGGCAAGCCAAGUCGGGUGUGAAAGCCCUGGGCUCAACCCAGGAAGUGCAUUCGAUACUGGCAAGCUAGAGUCCCGGAGAGGAUGGUGGAACUCUCGGUGUAGAGGUGAAAUUCGUAGAUAUCGAGAAGAACACCGGUGGCGAAGGCGGCCAUCUGGACGGUGACUGACGCUGAGACGCGAAAGCGUGGGGAGCGAACAGG
rnacentral:rRNA from 1 species